GAUGAACGCUAGCUACAGGCUUAACACAUGCAAGUCGAGGGACCGGCGCACGGGUGAGUAACACGUAUCCAACCUGCCCUUUACUCGGGGAUAGCCUUUCGAAAGAAAGAUUAAUACCCGAUAUAAAGGAUGGGGAUGCGUUCGAUUUGGUUGUGGUUGAGGUAACGGCCCACCAAGCCUCCGAUGGAUAGGGGUUCUGAGAGGAAGGUCCCCGAGAUUGGAACAGGGACACGGUCCAAACUCCUACGGGAGGCAGCAGUGAGGAAUAUUGGUCAAUGGGCGUUAGCCUGAAACAGCCAGGUAGCGUGAAGGAUGAAGGGUUAUGGGUCGUAAACUUCUUUUAUAUAAGAAUAUGUAUUAUAUGAAUAAGGAACGGCUAACUCCGUGCCAGCAGCCGCGGUAAUUC
rnacentral:rRNA from 1 species